rnacentral:rRNA from 1 species
GACGAACGCUGGCGGCGUGCUUAACACAUGCAAGUCGAACGGAAAGGCCCUGCUUUUGUGUGGUGCUCGAGUGGCGAACGGGUGAGUAACACGUGAGUAACCUGCCCUUGACUUUGGGAUAACUUCAGGAAACUGGGGCUAAUACCGGAUAGGAGCUCCUGCUGCAUGGUGGGGGUUGGAAAGUUUCGGCGGUUGGGGAUGGACUCGCGGCUUAUCAGCUUGUUGGUGGGGUAGUGGCUUACCAAGGCUUUGACGGGUAGCCGGCCUGAGAGGGUGGCCGGCCACAUUGGGACUGAGAUACGGCCCAGACUCCUACGGGAGGCAGCAGUGGGGAAUAUUGCACAAUGGGCGGAAGCCUGAUGCAGCAACGCCGCGUGCGGGAUGACGGCCUUCGGGUUGUAAACCGCUUUCGCCUGUGACGAAGCGUGAGUGACGGUAAUGGGUAAAGAAGCACCGGCUAACUACGUG